ACCUACUCUCCAUGUUAUCACCCCCCCCUCACCUACUCUCCAUGUUAUCCCAUUUGAUCUUUGCAACAAUGAGACAAUAGUAAGGCAUCGAUACUGUUGCAUUUAGAAUAUAAUUAGUUCCAUUGCCGUUAUUUCUAUAGUUUGGAGUUGGAGUUGAUGAUUGUGAUUGAAUAUUGUCUGAUGGUUAGGGUGUGUUCAGAGCAUAAGGCCUGAAUCCUGCUGUGAUGACUUCUUCCUUCCCUCGGGAAAAGACUGUCACAUGUUCCUCACACACAAACACAGUAAUGCCAAUAACUUUUUCACAGUUCAGCUUGGUUUUAUAACUAUUUCAGUUCGUUUAAGUUUCAAAAAAAAAUAGAUCUAUUUUUUAGUUCACAACACUGCAUAUUUUAGUAUUCAAAAUCCAGUGUACAAAACCAUUUCUGUUUUAUAUGUCCAAAUAUACAAGAGACAAAUAUAGUUGAUUUAUAGAUUUUGAAGAACGUGCCACUUUAUUGUUGCAAAGGAGGAUGGGAUGAGAUUUGUAAUAUUUUUUCUGGUUGGUUGUAAUUAUAUUUAUAUGUCGGAUCUUCUGCAGUUCCCCGUCUGCAUCCGAAUGGCACCGUAUUCCCUAUGUAGUGCACUACUUUGUAUCAGGGCCUAUAGGACUCUGGUCAAAAGGAGUGCACUACUUUGUAUCAGGGCCUAUAGGACUCUGGUCAAAAGGAGUGCACUACUUUGUAUCAGGGCCUAUAGGACUCUGGUCAAAAGGAGUGCACUACUUUGUAUCAGGGCCUAUAGGACUCUGGUCAAAAAGAGUGCACUACGUAGUAAGGAACAGGGUGCUGUUUUGGACACACCCUGUCACACUGUCGUUGCCGACACACACGUGAAUGUUUUGGCUUUAAAAAAAAAAAAGAGAUGCUUCGUUUUUGUUUUUCUAUUGCUGAGAAGAGAAGAGAUAUAUUUAAAAAUGUUUUCAGCCCGAGGUUUGGUUUUUAAGAAGUCUAUUUUACGACUAAUUGGUUUUGGGGUGUCCUGGGAACAGAAAGACAAAGGGAUUGGAUAGCACAUGUAAAAAGCAAUAAGCAGAUGGUUUUGUUUAAGGCUGUCUCCCAAAUGGCACUCUGCUUCCUAUAAAGUGCCCUACUUUUGACCACAUCCCCUAUGGGCCAUGGCACCCUAUUCCCUAAAUAGCCCUAUGGGCCCUGGUUAAAAGGAGUGCACUAUAAAGGGAAAAGGGUGUAAUUUGGGACACGGGAUAGGUUUUAGUGUACAAACUGUAAUUACCAAAAUGAAGUUGUUUGUGUAUAUAGUGCAUUGUGUAUUUAUCGGGGGUUGGAACCGGUUCAGGGAACAGAACCAAAAACUGGAAAAGAACAACAUUUUUCGAGGGAACGAGAACCAAGAACGAAAGUGAUCUAUUCUGUUCCCGGAACAGAACCAUUCUGUUCCGGAACCAUUUUAAAAGCAUGGGAACCGUUUGAUAAAAUGAUUUUAUGUUCAGGGCAUUUUUUUCCCAGUUUCAAAAAAAAAAAAAAAAAAUGCAACAAAGCACCUACUGUAUGCAAAGCCCUCAGCUGUCACUCAGAAACGUAUUCCAGUGUCUGCCUUCCUGUUGUCUUCCUGCUGCCUUCUUGCCAACUGAAAAUCUUUGCCAGUGUGUAGGCUAACCUUCCCCCUCCCUCCAAAGCAUGCAUAUGCAUCAUCUACUGUAGCUACUGACAUUACAGGCGUGAUUCAGAAAUUAAAGGGAAAAUAUUUUUAUUCGAGAACAAUGGGAUUAACUUUUUCAAUACUAGUUAAGGAUAUUAUAAUUAUCACAUUUCAUAUUGGAUUUAUUAACAACAAAAAUAUGUUGUUGUUUUUGUAUUCUGGUGCUGCUCUGCACACACAAGCUUGUUAGCUAGCUAGCAAGUGCUUUCCAGAAACCCAGCCUUAACAGAAACCAAAGCCAUUCCUCUGUAGGCUUCAUGCCCAGCGCUCUCUUCACCCGCAACAUUUCAGUUGCAUGUUGCGCCCUACACUACACUUUGUCUGUCCAAUGCAUUUACAACCGAACAAAAAUAUAAACGCGACAUUCAACAAUUUUAUUGAUUUUACGGAGUUACGGUUCACAUGAGGAAAUCAGUCAAUUUAAAUAAAUUAAUUAGGCCCUAAUCUAUGGAUUUCACAUGACUGGGAAUAAAGAUAUGCAUCACAGAUACCUUAUAAAAUGGGCCUCAGGAUCUCGUCACUGUAUUUUUGUGCAUUCAAAUUGCCAUAGAUAAAACACAAUUGUGUUCAUUGCACGUAGUUUAUGCCUGCCCAUACCAUAACCCCACCGCCACCAGGGGGCACUCUGGCCUUUUAUUGUCCCCAGGACAAGGUGCACCUGUGUAAUGAUCAUGCUGUUUAAUCUGCUUCUUGAUAUGCCACACCUGUCAGGUGAAUGGAUUAUCUUGGCAAAGGAUAAAGGCUCACUAACAGACAUGUAAACAAAUUUGCGCACAAAAUUUGAGACAAAUACAUUUUUUGUGAGUAUGGACAUUUUCGGGUAUCUUUUAUUUCAGCUCAUGAAACAUGGGACCAACACUUUACAUGUUGCGUUUAUAUUUUUGUUCAGUGUACAUUCUGUAGCAGGCCUGCUCCAUAGCAAGCUCCUCUAUCCAUUGGUGAAGUAAUUUAAAUGAAAAAUAUAUAUUUUGAUUUCAGAGGUUUAAAAAGGAACAAUAUAAAACAUAACUUUUUUGGGGGGUUCGAACCGGUUCAGAAUUUUAUUUUGCUGGUCGGAACAGUGGAACAGAACAAAAAUUUAAAAAAUGGUUCUGUUCACAACAAACGAUUGGAAAAUAAUUUAGGUUCCAACCCCUGGUAUAAACUGUACCGCGGUACAUUGUGUAUUAGUGCUGAGCGAUUAGUGCUUUUUGAGUUUGGUUCAGUUAGAUUAUAUGGGGGGGGGGGGACCGUUUUGGAUUUCACUUUCGAUAAUUUUUUUAGUCAUUAUGUGGGUUGAAGGCUGUAUCAAUACAGAAUAAAACAAUCAAUACAAGUCCCAUGAUGGUAGUGACUGACCAUUCCUGCUUAUCACUUAUUCACCAUUAUUUUUUCCACAUGACUUUACUUUAAUAAAAUAUUUAAAUUGUUACAUUAGUCUUAAUUGAUGACUUUAUUAUUUAUAAAGUCUUAAAGACUUUAUUAGUUGUCUGACAAAAUCACUAUUUUUGUAGUUCUUAAAAGUAAAUAAGGCAUACUUAAAAAUAAAUUUAAAAAAGUAGAAUAAAUAGUUGUCCCGUAUCAGGACCUCCUAUUCGCGGGCACAAAUGCAUGUUAUGGUUCUAAUCAUAGAACUACAAAUAGAAUCCCCUUUAAUUCAAUAGGAUCUCUGUGGGCCUAGUCGUAAAGACUUUUAACAUGUAUCACCUUUAUGCUGUGGCAUAAAUACAACCAGUCAUGAUGUUUUUUUUUUUUUUAAUUGGAUUUGUCAAACAGUGACUUCAAAGGACUACUUUACUCGGCUACUUGCGCAAGUUAAUCCACUCGCAACAUACAGGUGAAUGAAAAGAGACUUCUGUUAAAACAAAACACCAAAAAGUCCAAUGACAUUUGCCGACUGUAAUUAGGGCAGCAUUUAUGCAGGCCACUGCUGUCCGCGCUCUUCUCUGUGUCGGCCACGCAUCUCUGCCUUGGCAAAAUUCCUGUGUUCUUGUCAAACCACGUUGCAUUUUGGAGUGUAAGCCCCCCGUUUUCAAGUUAAUUCGCUCAUUUUCCCUUCCCCUGAUGUAAUGAUAAAUAGUGCUAUGCUAGCGUUUUAUUUAUUGUGAUAGGCUCAUGUUUUACCGGUACUGCUGGGACGUCGUACUGGACCGUACCGCCUUACUUUCACCCCUGCUUUUAUUACUACUGAAUACCAACUAUCAAUCACUUAGAUUAUGUAUUUUCAGGUAGAGAUACAUCGCAAAGUAACUGUUUUCUAUCCCUCUCUGUGUCUGCUCCACACAGACUGGACAAGUAGGCGCGCAUUGGAUUAUGGUCAUUGUAGUUAAUUACCACGUUUUCUGCACUAAACUAUAGAAUAUUGGCCUGUUGGAAACUGCAACUCCCUACUACAGUACAUCACACUGGUCGGACAUGAGCUGAUUUAUCUCUAGAGAAAUUGCAUAGAGCUCACAGGGAGAGAAAAAAAAUGAAAUUCAAAUAAUUGAACCGAAGUCGGUCAAUUAGUAAAAAAAAAAAACGCACGUUUUAGUUAAUCGCUCAGCACUUGUGUAUAUACUGUACCACAGUACUGUAGUACGCAGUACAGAGAGAAGAGGAUUGGAGGGUGUAGGAUAUACAUCCAUAACAGGCUACUACUACAUUAUAUUUAGAGUUGAUGAUAUUACAAUAUUUAUAUCCCAUUUGUUUUAUAUGAUGUUAAAUAAAUGUUAUUGUUCUUAUACAUUGAUGUGUGGGGUGUGGUGAUUGUAAAUGCGUGGACUGGAUGCUACUCCUUAUUAGAAAAUAGCAAAUAUGUUUUAUUGACAAUGAGCAUAGUAUUUCCCCAUCCCAAAUACUAUAUUGGCCCCUAAAUGUUGCUGUUAAUAAAGUUGUGGAUUGAA
ensembl:lncRNA